rnacentral:tRNA from 1 species
CUACUGUAGCUCAGUUGGUUAGAGCAGGAUGGCUCGUCGCCUGUCGCCUCGUUUCCCUUUUUUAUUUGGGUGCCGUAGCCCGGCCAUACUUCGAUUGCGAUUCGCCAGGUUGCGGGUUUGAAUCCCGCCGGUAGCG